AUUUAACUGACGAGUCCCAAAUAGGAUGAAACGCAUGUCUUGGAU
rfam:Schistosoma mattheei strain Denwood, Zambia genome assembly, scaffold: SMTD_scaffold0000296